GAGUUUGAUCUUGGCUCAGAUUGAACGCUGGCGGCAUGCCUUACACAUGCAAGUCGAACGGUAACAGGUCUUCGGAUGCUGACGAGUGGCGAACGGGUGAGUAAUACAUCGGAACGUGCCCAGACGUGGGGGGAUAACGAGGCGAAAGCUUUGCUAAUACCGCAUACGAUCUAAGGAUGAAAGCAGGGGACCGCAAGGCCUUGCGCGUUUGGAGCGGCCGAUGGCAGGAUUAGGUAGUUGGUGGGAUAAAAGCUUACCAAGCCGACGAUCUGUAGCUGGUCUGAGAGGACGACCAGCCACACUGGGACUGAGACACGGCCCAGACUCCUACGGGAGGCAGCAGUGGGGAAUUUUGGACAAUGGCGAAAGCCUGAUCCAGCAAUGCCGCGUGCAGGAUGAAGGCC
rnacentral:rRNA from 1 species